ACGGCCACACCGGUUGCCGUAAGACCACCGAAGUUAAGCAACAUUGCACCGGGUUAGUACCUAGAUGGGUGACCGCUUGGAAAUACCAGGUGCUGUAAG